GACAGGCUGACUUUGAACUCCUGAUCCUCCUACCUCCAGAUCUGGAGUACUCUGUUAUAGCUUGUACCACCAAACUGUUUAUGUGGUCGGUGGAUCCUAGGCAUGGAACUAAGGGCUGAAGAGUUAAAAAAAAAGUCUCAGUUUUGGAAUUUGGAUGCAGUCACGGGGUGUGGCAGGCAGCAGAAGACUUCGGGGUCCAUGUUUACUCUCUUUAUAACUCACUCUUGGCAGAAUAAAUACGCUUUUCGAGAUGGUAAAAAUUCUUUCCAAGGGCAGCGACUUCAAGGACCUAAUCCUGGCCCACGAGGCUCCAUGUUGCCAAAGAAAUGAGAACCAGGAUCCAGGAACCUGUGGUCAGCCAACCAGAGCAGCUAAUCUGAGAACACCUUGUCAUCUGGCCUGAAGGAAGACUUGGUAGCUGGAAUGAGUAAUCAAGCCCCUGGGAAGUCUCCAGGUCUCUAGAGAUAGAGUUAACCAAUCAAGAUAGAAGGGCACGCCCUCCUCCCUGGAAUUCCCCUAACUGACAAUAAAAGCCAGGCUGCCAGUCCACUGGGUCUCCCUUCCCAGAUGGGGAGACACUGAGUGCAGGAAAUUCAGUUGAACAAACGCUUUCUGUUUUCGCAUAGUAUGAGUCUGGGGUAUCAUUUUUUUGGUGAUUCUUGGACUCUCACAACAUCACCUUCCAGCACUAUAAAAGCUAGUUACUGGGGAGAAGCUUUUUGGUCAGUACUAAUUUAAUUUCACCAUGUCCUGUGGCUAAAG
rnacentral:sRNA from 1 species